rnacentral:rRNA from 1 species
GGGGGGGGGGGGGGGGGGGGCGAGGGCGGGGGGGUCGGGGGGGGGGGGGGGGGUGGCGGCUGGGGUCAGGGGCGGGCGGGGGGGUCAUGCCUAGGAAUGUGGCUGGUAGUGGGGGAUAACGUCGGGAAAGGGGCGCUCAUCACGCGUGCGUGCUGAGGGAGAAAGUGGUGGGUCUUCGGACGUCACGCGCUCAGAUGCGCCUAUGUCCGAUUAGCUAGUGGGUGGGGUCAAGGCCUGCCACGGCGACGAUCCGUAACUGGUCUGAUAGGAUGAUCAGUCACACUGGAACUGAGACACGGUCCAGACUCCUACGGUAGGCAGCAGUGGGGAAUAUUGGACAACGGUCGAAAGCCUGAUCCAGCCAUGCCGCGUGUGUGAAGAAGGUCUUCGGAUUGUAAAGCACUUUAAGUUGGGAGGAAGGGCAGUAAGUUAAUACCUUGCUGUUUUGACGUUACCAACAGAAUAAGCACCGGCUAACUUCGUG